ACGAACGCUGGCGGCGUGCUUAACACAUGCAAGUCGAACGGAAAGGCCCUGCUUUUGUGGGGUGCUCGAGUGGCGAACGGGUGAGUAACACGUGAGUAACCUGCCCUUGACUUUGGGAUAACUUCAGGAAACUGGGGCUAAUACCGGAUAGGAGCUCCUGCUGCAUGGUGGGGGUUGGAAAGUUUCGGCGGUUGGGGAUGGACUCGCGGCUUAUCAGCUUGUUGGUGGGGUAGUGGCUUACCAAGGCUUUGACGGGUAGCCGGCCUGAGAGGGUGACCGGCCAAAUGGGACUGAGAUACGGCCCAGACUCCUACGGGAGGCAGCAGUGGGGAAUAUUGCACAAUGGGCGGAAGCCUGAUGCAGCAACGCCGCGUGCGGGAUGACGGCCUUCGGGUUGUAAACCGCUUUCGCCUGUGACGAAGCGUGAGUGACGGUAAUGGGUAAAGAAGCACCGGCUAACUACGUG
rnacentral:rRNA from 1 species